AAUUCUAGAGCUAAUACAUGCAGCAAGUCCUGACUCCUUGUGGGCAGGACGCAGUUAUUAGAUCAAAAACCAAUCGACCGUACCUUCGGGUGCAGUCGCUCUUUUGGUGAAACUGAGUAACCACAGCAAACCGCAUGGCCUUGCGCUCGGCGGUCUGUCGGUCAAGCAACUGCCUUAUCAGCUUGUUGUUAGGUUAUAUGCCUAACAAGGCGUCAACGGGUAACGAACGAUCGGGGUCGGACAUCGGAGAGGGAGCCUGAGAAACGGCUACCACUUCCAAGGAAGGCAGCAGGCGCGCAAAUUACCCACUCCCGGCACGGGGAGGUAGUGACGAGAUGUAUCGAUGCGGGGCCAUUAGUGCCUUCGUAAUCGGAAUGAGUACACUUUAAAUCCUUUAACGAGGACCUAUUGGAGGGCAAGUCUGGUGCCAGCAGCCGCGGUAAUUCCAGCUCCAAUAGCGUAUAUUAAUGCUGCUGCGGUUAAAAAGCUCGUAGUUGGAUCUGGGUUCCCGACGGGUACUGUAUGCAGUCUCGUACUGUAUACACGUACUAUUCGUGUUGCUUCGGCAACACUGCCGAUGUAGUAGGUCUCGUUUGUAGGCUUGCUGCGUCGGUCGUCGGGACCACGGGCCAAGUCAGGCGGUAUGCUCUUCACUGAGUGUACUGUUUGCUUGGUGCGUUUACUUUGAAAAAAUUGGAGUGCUCAAAGCAGGCGUACAGUCGCAAUGCGGCCAGAACAGUGGUGCAUGGAAUAAUGGAAUAGGACCUCGGUUCUAUUUUGUUGGUUUUAAGAAUUCGAGGUAAUGAUUAAGAGGGACAGGCGGGGACAUUUGUAUUGCGACGUUAGAGGUGAAAUUCUUGGAUCGUCGCAAGAC
rnacentral:rRNA from 1 species